AUUGAACGCUGGCGGAAUGCUUUACACAUGCAAGUCGAACGGCAGCACGGACUUCGGUCUGGUGGCGAGUGGCGAACGGGUGAGUAAUGUAUCGGAACGUGCCCAGUCGUGGGGGAUAACGUAGUGAAAAUUACGCUAAUACCGCAUACGAUCUAUGGAUGAAAGCGGGGGAUCGCAAGACCUCGCGCGAUUGGAGCGGCCGAUAUCAGAUUAGGUAGUUGGUGGGGUAAAGGCCCACCAAGCCAACGAUCUGUAGCUGGUCUGAGAGGACGACCAGCCACACUGGAACUGAGAACCGGGCCAGAAUCCUACGGGAGGCAGCAGUGGGGAAUUUUGGACAAGGGGCGAAAGCCUGAUCCAGCCAUUCCGCGUGCAGGAUGAAGGCCCUCGGGUUGUAAACUGCUUUUGUACAGAACGAAAAGGUUUCUACUAAUACUAGGAGCUCAUGACGGUACUGUAAGAAUAAGCACCGGCUAACUACGUGCCAGCAGCCGCCGUAA
rnacentral:rRNA from 1 species